rnacentral:rRNA from 1 species
CCUACGGGAGGCAGCAGUGAGGAAUAUUGGUCAAUGGGCUUACGCCUGAACCAGCCAAGUCGCGUGAGGGAAGACUGCCCUAUGGGUUGUAAACCUCUUUUGUCAGGGAGCAACGCCGGCUACGUGUAGCCGGACUGAGAGUACCUGAAGAAAAAGCAUCGGCUAACUCCGUGCCAGCAGCCGCGGUAAUACGGAGGAUGCGAGCGUUAUCCGGAUUUAUUGGGUUUAAAGGGUGCGUAGGCGGAAUGCCAAGUCAGCGGUAAAAGCGCGGGGCUCAACCUCGCUCCGCAGUUGAUACUGGCGUUCUUGAGUGGGCGAGAAGUAUGCGGAAUGCGUGGUGUAGCGGUGAAAUGCAUAGAUAUCACGCAGAACUCCGAUUGCGAAGGCAGCAUACCGGCGCCCAACUGACGCUGAAGCACGAAAGCGUGGGUAUCGAACAGGAUUAGAUACCCUGGUAGUC